GCGGGCGGGCGGCGCGGCGCUGCGGCAAUGGCAGCCGCCUCGGCACCAGGCACUGACUCAUCGCUGGCAUCAGCAGCUACCGCAAUGCCCCGGAUAGCCGGGCCCGUUACCGCAUUGCCUCGAAGAGCGGCGCCCGACAAAGCGCCGGGGGGCGGGGCGGCGGAGGCCCCGCCCCUCACCGCCCGAGGGCCUCGCCCAGAAACCGUGCCCCGCCCCGCUCUUCCCCUCCUCGUGCCCAUCCCGCGUGGGGCAGGGCUCGUCCCCGCGGGCGGGGGGGGGCUCACGGAGAGUAGUUCAGCCCCCCUCCCCCCCGGCAGAUUUGAAACGGGAUGGGACGCGUGUUUGGAGGAAAAGGGGCGUGGGCGACCGGCCCCCCCGAGCCUGGGGGCAGGUGCCCCCUACCGCUCCCCAGUGAAAGGAGGCAUCGGCCGCCUCUGAACCAGAUCUGGAGAGCUGUGAAGGAGAGGGUCAGCAGGAAACGCCUGGUCAGACCCACGUCCUUGGCCUGGCCGCUGCGACACAGUGACCUCAGUGGCAAUGACCCUUCUAUCCAUUCAUUGGAAGCGGACAUCAUUUCCUGCCAAAAGGCCACCUCCUCCUGCGUGGAAUCCAUCCAGUCCACUGGGAUGCCAUAGCUAGACCCUGAGAAACAACAAGAAGGUGGUCAUGGAAGAAGCAGCACAAGAAGUUACAUAUUACCAGCAAGACUACUCGAAGUAAGAGAGCCCUGCCCUUAGGGUGUGAUCCCAAAUACUUCCCUGGGAAUGUGCAGAGCACCUUGAACAGCUGUUGAUCUGCUGUUAAGCAACCCAGUGUCACAUAGACAAAGUCCAGGAAGGACUCUCACGACUUUCAUUAGAAAACAACAACAGGUUCAGGUCCUUUCUUGCUUCUUUUUGAUGGGGCAAGAAGGCCCACAGCAUUGCUUGGUUGUUCUAGGUCUUGGUGGUGGCUUUGAAAGACUUUUUGGCAUAUUUUAAACCAAAAAUUACAAGCUUGCCUACCCUGGAAGAACUGGUGAAAUGAUGGCCUCACAAGAGUCAAGAGACUGAAACCUGACCAAAUAUGAGAAGAGAUUGUUUAUCAAACUGCUCAAAAGUCUUUGAUUUUGUUCAAACACCUGACUAGCCAUGGUUUCGCUACAUGUGCACCACUAUAAGAGCAUGGAGACUUAAGUUACAUCAUAAUAGUACUAUCAUUUGAUAGCAAUACAAUUGUUAUAUAUGUCUGUACUCCUAAGCAGUCCAAAUAACGUUACUUGUCCACUUAAAUAUAUGUGGAAUCAGGGCCUUAGAAAACAAAUGUUUUAUGUUCACCCAGUGCACGCAACAAUCCAGACAAGGGCCCCUGGGAGAAAAUGUGACAGUAAUGGUAAACAGAUCAUUAAAAGCCAAAUGAAGAGCAAGUCCAAUUUCAUAAAAAGGCUCCAUUAACAUUUGCAGGCCUUUCCCACGAAUAGUUCAUGGAACACUGACUGCAUUGCCACGACUUCUAAAUAUUGUCAAAAUAGGAGGAACUGAAAAAAAAAAUUUUUUUUAAAUGUAAUUUCCAACCUAUUACAAAACCUGAAUGCAAAUGACUGAACCUGUCUUGGGAUUCAUUCCAAACAGGUUUGAAUCUUGCACCAUACUGGCUGGUGUCAUGCCAGGAUAACAGUCUCUUCUACUUUUCCAUUUAGAAAUCAUAACAUUACAAGAAUGUGAACAUUUCAUUUCUAAUUCAAAUACUCAAACACAUUUUCAUGCGUCUAACACCUGUCUUUCAGUUCAAACAACAUCUCUGACCAAAUACAUGUUUAAGUUCA